GAACAAGAGGAUGCUCUCUGACAAUUUAAUUUUAUGACCACCUUAAAAAUAGUGAGGCUCCAUAACAAAGCCCUGAUCCACAGAGAGACUGUGGAGAGAUGCCCCCUCAACCAGCUGGUUCUGGGACUCUCUACACAAACACAAGCA